GACGAACGCUGGCGGCGUGCUUAACACAUGCAAGUCGAACGGAAAGGCCCUGCUUUUGUGGGGUGCUCGAGUGGCGAACGGGUGAGUAACACGUGAGUAACCUGCCCUUGACUUUGGGAUAACUUCAGGAAACUGGGGCUAAUACCGGAUAGGAGCUCCUGCUGCAUGGUGGGGGUUGGAAAGUUUCGGCGGUUGGGGAUGGACUCGCGGCUUAUCAGCUUGUUGGUGGGGUAGUGGCUUACCAAGGCUUUGACGGGUAGCCGGCCUGAGAGGGUGACCGGCAACAUUGGGACUGGGAUACGGCCAAGACUCAUACGGGAGGCAGCAGUGGGGAAUAUUGCACAAUGGGCGGAGGCCUGAUGCAGCACCGCCGCGUGCGGGAUGACGGCCUUCGGGUUGUAAACCGCUUUCGCCUGUGCCGAAGCGUGAGUGACGGUAAUGGGUAAAGAAGCACGGGCUAACUACGU
rnacentral:rRNA from 1 species